UGCCUACGGGGGGCAGCAGUGAGGAAUAUUGGUCAAUGGGCGCAAGCCUGAACCAGCCAAGUCGCGUGAGGGAUGACGGUCCUAUGGAUUGUAAACCUCUUUUGUCGGGGAGCAAGGCCCGCCACGUGUGGCGGGAAGGAGAGUACCCGAAGAAAAAGCAUCGGCUAACUCCGGGCCAGCAGCUGCGGUAAUACGGAGGAUGCGAGCGUUAUCCGGAUUUAUUGGGUUUAAAGGGUGCGCAGGCGGAAGAUCAAGGCAGAGGUAAAAUUGAGAGGCUCAACCUCUUCGAGCCGUUGAAACUGGGU
rnacentral:rRNA from 1 species